rnacentral:rRNA from 1 species
AGCAGCCGCGGUAACUUCAGCUCCAAUAGCGUAUAUUAACAUUGUUGCAUUUAAAAAGCUCGUAGUUGAAUUUAUUUUUAUAAAUUUUAUAUAAGUAAUAUUAUUUUAUAAUAAAAUUAUUUAAAUUUAUUUUUUAUAAUUUUAUUAUAUAUUAAACGGUAAUAUUAUUUAUAAUUUAUAAAAAAAUUUUAUGUUAUAUUAUUUAGUAAUAGAUAAUAUAAUAUAAAUAUUACUGUGAAAAAAUUAGAGUGUUUAAAGCAUGUAUAUAAAAUUAAAAAAUAUAUUUUCUGAAUAUAUUUUUUUAGCUUGAAUAUAUUAGCAUGGAAUAAUAAUAUUAUAAUAUUUUUAUAUUAUUUUGUUGGUUAAAUAUAAAAAUAUAUGAUUAAUAGGGACAAUUGGGGGUAUUUAUAUUUCAUAGUCAGAGGUGAAAUUCUGGGAUUUAUGAAAGAUAAACAAAUGCGAAAGCAUUUACCAAAAAUGUUUUCAUUAAUCAAGAACGAAAGUUAGGGGAUCAAAGAGGCUUAGAUACCCUCGUAGUCUUAACUAUAAACUAUAACACCUAAAUAUUGGUAUAAUAAUUUAAAAUAUAGUAAUGAUAGUUAAUUUAUUAAUUAUUUANUGCUGUAUUAAUAAUUUAUAUCAGUGUUUAUAAUGGGAAACCAAAGGCUUUGGUUUAUGGGGGGAGUACGG